AGAGUUUGAUCCUGGCUCAGGAUGAACGCUGGCGGCGUGCCUAAUACAUGCAAGUCGAACGCACUGUGGUUCAACUGAUUUGAAGAGCUUGCUCUGAUAUGACGAUGAACAUUGCAGUGAGUGGCGAACGGGUGAGUAACACGUGGGAAACCUACCUCUUAGCGGGGGAUAACAUCUGGAAACAGAUGCUAAUACCGCAUAACACUAGCAACCGCAUGGUUGCUACUUGAAAGAUGGUUCUGCUAUCACUAAGAGAUGGUCCCGCGGCGCAUUAGUUAGUUGGUGAGGUAAUGGCUCACCAAGACGAUGAUGCGUAGCCGAGUUGAGAGACUGAUCGGCCACAAUGGGACUGAGACACGGCCCAUACUCCUACGGGAGGCAGCAGUAGGGAAUCUUCCACAAUGGACGAAAGUCUGAUGGAGCAACGCCGCGUGUGUGAUGAAGGGUUUCGGCUCGUAAAACACUGUUGUAAGAGAAGAAUAGCAUCAAGAGUAACUGCUUGGUGUGUGACGGUAUCUUACCAGAAAGGAACGGCUAAAUACGUGCCAGCAGCCGCGGUAAUACGUAUGUUCCAAGCGUUAUCCGGAUUUAUUGGGCGUAAAGCGAGCGCAGACGGUUUUUUAAGUCCG
rnacentral:rRNA from 1 species